CUCCUCUCAGAAUCACACCUAGAGAGUUUCCAGGACUCUACCAAUCUUGACUAUGGGAGGCAGAGUCAAACAGAGGCCUACCCAUUCCAUUCCUAGCUUGGACAGUGGCUAGCGAGUGGAAAGCAAUCUGCUGCAGAG